rnacentral:rRNA from 1 species
GACGUAGGGUGCGAGCGUUGUCCGGAAUUAUUGGGCGUAAAGAGCUCGUAGGCGGUGUGUCACGUCGGCCGUGAAAACCUGCAGCUUAACUGUGGGCGUGCGGUCGAUACGGGCAUCACUGGAGUUCGGCAGGGGAGACUGGAAUUCCCGGUGUAGCGGUGAAAUGCGCAGAUAUCGGGAGGAACACCAAUGGCGAAGGCAGCUUGCUGGGACGGUACUGACGCUGAGACGCGAAAGCGUGGGGAGCAAACAGG